UACGUAGGGUGCAAGCGUUUAAUCGGAAUACUGGGCGUAAAGCGUGCGCAGGCGGUUCUAUAAGACAGAUGUGAAAUCCCCGGGCUCAACCUGGGAACUGCAUUUGUGACUGUAGAGCUGGAGUACGGUAGAGGGGAUGGAAUUCCGCGUGUAGCAGUGAAAUGCGUAGAUAUGCGGAGGAACACCGAUGGCGAAGGCAAUCCCCUGGACCUGUACUGACGCUCAUGCACGAAAGCGUGGGGAGCAAACAGG
rnacentral:rRNA from 1 species